GGAAGCGAUGCGAGACGUCUUUGCUGAUCAACUGGCUUCAAUCUUCACUCAGAGCUGUGGAUGGAACUUUCCUGUGUUGCUGCUUGCAUGGAGACGCGGUCAGAGAAAAUGAUGGCUGCUUGGAAAGAGUCCAGGAGAUCAGCAGACCCUCGUCCUCUACCUCCUCCAGGCACGCCGUCACCUGAUGCAGACAGACGGGGGGGAGACAAGCUGCUGGUAGAGACUACAUAUGUGGAGAUUUGCAAGAAAGGCGCCUGGCGAGAGUCAAACGAGGACAUCACACUCGGGUGGCAUGUGUCUAAACCACUAGACCGCCAGAAAACAAAAAACACCCUAAAAUCCAGAGCCAGUUCCAUGAAAAGUCAGACUGCAUUUACAGCAAAUAUUAGCAGAGGGGGGUUUGUGUCCAUGACAAAAAGAAUUGUUUUUGCAAGUUUCUUUAGGAAACACAGCAGUGCAAAAUCUCCAAGAGGUGCCUGUUAUAAUUUUACAUGCCUCAGAGAAGGUGGGGUCGCCAGAUUUUUGUACUUUUGUGCUUCUGCCAUGUGUUUGGAAGAUAUUACACAACUAUUGUUAACUAUUUCAAUCUUUUAGCUGAAGC